rnacentral:tRNA from 1 species
CGUAGCGCAGCUUAACCAAAGCAUCUCGCUUACACCGAGAAGAUGUCUGUGAAAACCAGACCACUCCGA